UACGUAGGCAGCGAGCGUUGUUCGGAGCUACUGGGCGUAAAGGGUGUGUAGGCGGUUGUUAAGUUUGGUGUGAAUCUCCCGGCUCAACUGCGGUCUGCAGCCGAUACGGCAGGCUAGAGUUCGGUAGGGGAGACUGGAAUUCCUGGUGUAGCGGUGAAAUGCGCAGAUAUCAGGAGGAACACCGGUGGCGAAGGCGGGUCUCUGGGCCGAUACUGACGCUGAGGAGCGAAAGCGUGGGGAGCGAACAGG
rnacentral:rRNA from 1 species